rnacentral:lncRNA from 10 species
GAACACAAAAUGGCGACACGUGGUUAGCAUUCGUCGCCAACGAGAAAUUGGGGUCGGCCCGAAAGCUCUAGAAUGCACCCCUCUUCCUCCCCGGGGCCUUCCACCUCCGCGAGUUUUAUGACUUAAAAAAGCCCACAGGCUGGUCUGAAGACUUCCUAGCAUGGGCUGUUGUGCUGGAGAGAACGAGAGCUACGAAGAGACUACAGUGCCUCUGACUUUUUCAUAGGACAGUUGGCCGAGGAAGACAAACAUAAAGAUGAAGUGCUUAAUUCAAGGUCACACAAUGUCGGGGAUGGACCUCCAGAUUUCCUUACUGGAAAACAAGCUCAGGGCUCCCACUGAUUGUACAUUAUGAGACGGAGUCUUGCUAUGUUGCCCAGGCUGGUCUUGAACUCCUCACCUCAAGCGAUCCUCCCGUCUUGGCCUCCCAAGUGUCAGGAUUACGGGCAUGUGCUAUCACACCCAACCUGAUACAUUGCCUUUAUAAAUUUUUUUUUCUUUAUUCUAAAAACCAGAAAAAACAAAACUGGAUACAUGUGCAGAACAUGCAGGUUUGUUACAUAGCUGUACGUGUGCCAUGGUGGUUUGCUGCACCUAUUGACCUAUCCUGUAAGUUCCCUCCCCUCACCCCCACCCCCCAACAGCCCU